UACGUAGGGUGCGAGCGUUAAUCGGAAUUACUGGGCGUAAAGGGUGCGCAGGCGGCUCCGCAUGUCGGGCGUGAAAUCCCCGGGCUUAACCCGGAAAGGUCAGCCGAUACUGCGGGGCUAGAGUGCAGAAGGGGCAACUGGGAAUUCUCGGUGUAGCGGUGAAAUGCGUAGAUAUCGAGAGGAACACCUGCGGCGAAGGCGGGUUGCUGGGCCGAUACUGACGCUGAGGAGCGAAAGCGUGGGGAGCGAACAGG
rnacentral:rRNA from 1 species